rnacentral:ribozyme from 1 species
UUUCCUGUUUUGUUUUCAUUUCCUUUACUAUUGUGUGUGGAAUUUAUGGAAAUUCCUUAAAAUAGAAAGCCGCUGAAUACCGCAAUUCCUUUUAAACGAAAACCGGCAAAUCCAAGAGGUUUCUUUUCUUUCUU